UAUUUUGAGUGCCCGAAUUGUAAUCUGUAGAGGAGUAUUCGAGUGUAGCUUUGGCUUAAGUUCCUUGGAACAGGACGUCAUAGAGGGUGAGAACCCCGUUUACGGCCUUUGACUUAUGCUUAUGUGANUCUUCUUCAACGAGUCGAGUUGUUUGGGAAUGCAGCUCUAAAUUGGUGGUAAAUUCCAUCUAAAGCUAAAUACUGGCAAGAGACCGAUAGCGCACAAGUAGAGUGAUCGAAAGAUGAAAAGAACUCUGAACAGAGAGUCAAAUAGUACGUGAAAUUGUUGAAAGGGAAGCACUUGUUACCAGACAUGCCUUCAGUCAAUCAACCUUCAUUUUUGAUGGUGCACUUGGCUGUCGGUGGGUCAGCAUCAGUUACAACAGUGGGAUAAAGGCUGUGGGAAUGUGACUUCCUUCGGGGAGUGUUAUAGCCCAUAGUGUAAUACCAAUCGUUGUGACUGAGGCCUGCGCUUCGGUGAGGAUGCUGGCAUAAUGGUCAUAAGUGACCCGUCUUGAAACACGGACCAAGGAGUCUAACAUCUAUGCGAGUGUUUGGGUGUUAAAACCCUUACGCGGAAUGAAAGUAAAUGGAGGUGGGAACCGCAAGGUGCACCAUCGACCGAUCCUGAUGUCUUCGGAUGGAUUUGAGUAGUAGCAUAGCUGUUGGGACCCGAAAGAUGGUGAACUAUGCCUGAAUAGGGUGAAGCCAGAGGAAACUCUGGUGGAGGCUCGCAGCGGUUCUGACGUGCAAAUCGAUCGUCAAAUUUGGGUAUAGGGGCGAAAGACUAAUCGAACC
rnacentral:rRNA from 1 species